rnacentral:rRNA from 2 species
AAAUUGAAGAGUUUGAUCAUGGCUCAGAUUGAACGCUGGCGGCAGGCCUAACACAUGCAAGUCGAACGGUAACAGGAAACAGCUUGCUGCUUUGCUGACGAGUGGCGGACGGGUGAGUAAUGUCUGGGAAACUGCCUGAUGGAGGGGGAUAACUACUGGAAACGGUGGCUAAUACCGCAUAAUGUCGCAAGACCAAAGAGGGGGACCUUCGGGCCUCUUGCCAUCAGAUGUGCCCAGAUGGGAUUAGCUGGUUGGUGAGGUAACGGCUCACCAAGGCGACGAUCCCUAGCUGGUCUGAGAGGAUGACCAGCCACACUGGAACUGAGACACGGUCCAGACUCCUACGGGAGGCAGCAGUGGGGAAUAUUGCACAAUGGGCGCAAGCCUGAUGCAGCCAUGCCGCGUGUAUGAAGAAGGCCUUCGGGUUGUAAAGUACUUUCAGCGGGGAG